GGCACCUCCACCCACAUUUGAGAGGGAACACAGAGCAUCUCACUCAGAGGAAGAGCGUCCAGCAUGGGGCUCCCUGGCCUGCUCAGAGCUGUCAUAGCCUCUGUCUGCCUUGGAUCCAUCAUGGCCCAGAAAGUAACUCAAAAUUGGUCAGAAAUUUCUGUGCUGGAGAAGGAGGAUGUAACCUUGAACUGUGCAUAUGAAGCUAAUAGCUAUACUCAUUAUUUAUUCUGGUACAAGCAACCACCAAGUGGGGAAAUGAUUUUCCUUAUUCAUCAGGAGUCUUACAAUGAGCUGAAUACAACAAAAGGUCAGUAUUUUUUGAACUUCCAGAAAGCAACGAGUUCUAUCAGCCUCACCAUCACAGACUUACAGCUCAAGGACUCAGCGGUGUAUUUCUGUGCUCUGAGAGACCACAGUGAUGCCGCUGCCUGAGGGAGCCCCACAGAAACCUCAGCUGUUAACAUGUGGAGUCCCCCAGCUAUGAACAGCUUAGUGAGAUUCUCAGUAAGGACAGGAGAAGGUAGGGGGGUUAGAAGUGAAAACCUCACUGCUAAGAAAAUGCUAUCUUUGGCUCAGAGAGCAUAUCUUAAAGUGUCAUUCAGCAA